rnacentral:lncRNA from 1 species
UAUAACUGGAACUCUGGGAAUGUAACGGGCAUGGUGUGCUUGUCUGAUGGACAGGGCAGCUUAGGGGAAUAAGUCUCUGCAGCGUUGUAGUGAAGAGAGAAUACGGGACAACUGCAGGACCACAGCUCAGCCAAGAGACAACCACAUGACUGAAGACAGAGAUCAUCUGGGUCAGUGUUUCAGAAAAUGUUGCCAAGAAACUUCAAAUGCAGAUUCCUGGACCUCCGUGCAAACUACUAUAUUAGAAGUGAGAGUGGGGGUGAGAUGGAGGAGAGGUGAUAUUGAGAACCUGCAUUUUUUAAAACUUUUAUUUUAGUUUCAGGGGUACAUGUGAAGGUUUGUUAUAUAGGUAAGCUCAUGUCACGUGGGUUUGUUUUACAGAUUACUUCAUCACCCAUAUAUUAAGCCUAGUACCGAAUAGUUCCUUUUUCUGCUCCUCUCCCUCCUUCAACCCUCCAUGCUCAAACAGACCCCAGUGUCUGUUGUUCCCUUUAUGUUCAUGAGUUCUCAUCAUUUAUCUCUCACUUAUAAGUGAGAACAUGUAGUAUUUGGUUUUCUGUUCCUCUGCUCCCUUGCAGCUGAGUUGGCCAUAUGACUGACAGCAAGCCCUGGAAUGCAGCCAGAAGUGAUAGAAGCCUCUUUCACACCAUGCUCCUAAAAUAUUCCAAGAAAUUUUCCAAACCUACUCUUUUUAGUCUGUGCAUCUGGAAGUGAAAGUUUUAGAAAGGGUAAAGUCACUUAAUGGAAAGGGCCCAGAUCUAGCCCCUCGGAGCCAAGCUGUCCAACUAGAAAUUCUGCAUUAGUAUUUGCGAGCCCAGUAAAAAAAAAAAAGUCCCACAAAGAUGUAGGAUCUCACUUUGCCUGCGUUAAUUCCCUGUCCUUUGCCCAGUUUCUCCUCUCUUGGAAGGCAGAGGCAGCUUCUGAUUUUGAUCACUUCAUGUCCAGGGAGCUCAAGUGUUGCAAGUAUCUGCUUAAAAUGCCAUGUGAUGCUAAUCAUCUCUGCACGAGCAGUUCAUCUCAUCUCUCCAGUAAAUUGCUUAUCACAGUAAAAGGAGGACCUCCUGCUUCAGACUCUAAGCUUCCGGAGAACAGGAACUGCAUCUUUUCUAUUUCACAUACCCAACUCCUCACACAAUGCAUGAUGCAAGUGGGAAUCUACAUAAAAUAUCUGAUGGAUAAAUGGAGUAGCACUGAUGCAUAUGAGACCCAGUGUUAACCAGAGGAAGCAAUCAACUCCAAGAUCAACUGCCAAGAUAAAAACCAGGACCAAGGAAAGCUUCUGAGAUAAAAUGAUUUUUAAGAUUAACGUAGUGGAUAUUUCCAAUUGUUUUUUUUAUACCCUUCAUCUGAAGAUGUACCUUCCACGACCCAGGACUGUCUUUCUCAACAACUUGGAAGCCAUCCCUUUGUAAUGUAAUGAUCAAGAAAAAUAGGGCCCAUGCCUACCUGUCUCCAUGGGAAGGGAAAUGAAACAAGACCAUCAAUUAAAAGAUCUUUGGAGAGAAAAUGCCAAGAGUGGAUGGAGAGGCAAUGGUGAAGCUGAGGCUGAAGUCGGAGGAAGCUGUGAACCCUGCAUGGGGUACCUGAACACCAGGGCAAGUUUCUGGCCCAGAAUGGCUUCUGGGAAAGG